rnacentral:rRNA from 1 species
UACGAAGGGGGCGAGCGUUGUUCGGAUUUACUGGGCGUAAAGGGCGCGCAGGCGGCUUAUUUUGUCAGGCGUGAAAGCCCCGGGCUUAACCUGGGAACUGCGUUUGAUACGGAUGGGCUAGAGUUCGGGAGAGGAGCGUGGAAUUCCCAGUGUAGAGGUGAAAUUCGUAGAUAUUGGGAAGAACACCGGUGGCGAAGGCGGCGCUCUGGACCGAGACUGACGCUGAGGCGCGAAAGCCAGGGGAGCAAACGGG